CACGUGUCCAUUGUGCAGACCCUAUGUCUUCUUCUUAUUUUAUGUGUCAUAUUUUCACUUUUACUCUCUCUCUCUCUCUCUCUGCUUCUUCUUUCACAUUCUUUCUACGAUGAGAAACAGGGAAAUGGAUAUUUUUUUGUAAGCACCUUGCUAUAUUUGCAGAUUCAGCUAUUUGGGCAGAGGGACAAUUAGACCCGUAUCUUGGCUUGGAAAACCUUGGAUGCUAUGUGAGUUGAGGCUUCUUUAUCACAUGCAACUGUUCUUUUGCAGUCAUGGCUGAUUUUUAGCUGGUGAAAAUUGCUCGAGGUGGGGGGAAAAAGUGAGGCUGCUUCGACCGUAAAAGAAAAUCUCGGGCAAAAGGAAGUGUAUUGGAAGGUUCUGCAUUGUAUUUUCAGAAACCACCAUGGAGAAAACCUUCUUCCAUUACUCGACGACUUCUAAACACCGGAGCAUUAGGUGCAUCCCUCUGAAGAGUUGGUAUCCUCUGAUAAAAACACAAAGGUUAAGAAGAAACUAUCUCCCAAUGCAAAGUUCAUUGAGGCAAUUGAAUCCAUAGUCUUACCUCCAUGAUUUUAAAAGGCUCCUCAGUGAUGUCAAAGGUAAGAGUACACUCAAUGGCUCUAGCAGAAACCAGAACUGCGGAAUUGAGGUUGUCAUCCACAUACAUCCUACAAAGUAAAAAGUGCAUUUUCAUCAAACACUUUGUUUGAGUAAGAAGAAUGCAACAAUUGUUGUCUCAAAGAAAGCUGAUGUCGUUCCAUGCAUGGUAAAUUUCAUUAUUUCCAGGAAUCCUAAAUUAACAUGAGAUAUAUUGAAGUAGAUUAUUUUCAGAUUUAUAUUUGUAGGAUAAUCUACUUUUUUGUACUGUCCAUUUAUAUUUGUUACUAUUCAUAUAUAUAGUCUACAUGAGUGUGUAUGUGAAAUCUUUGCAAAUUUCUGUUGGAUUGGAUCCUAUUUCACUUUGAGUACAUAGUAUAAGGUCUACUCCAUACACCCUAAUUCUACUCUAUCACUACAGGAAAGGAUAAAAAACAAAUAAAAGAUUAUGAACCAUUUUUGAAAGACUUUUGUUUGGAAGCUAUGGUGAGUUUGAUUUCCUUUUGUGUAAAGGGGAUGGUGACUCAAUUGUUUGUCAUUUGAUUUACAUCUAUUUUGCCCUUUUAAAUGUUAAUUACCGUAUUGUUGCAGUGUUUCACGCAAUAUGAAUAAUAUUUCUUGAAAUGUUUUCCUCGGUAUGGUGUUUUUUUACUUAAAUCUCCAUAUGCUUUGGAAUGUCUAAUUAAGUAAGUCAUCAUGCCGAUGCGUUUCAACUCUCUCUUAUAUACUACCUACCUUUUGAUCAUGGAGUAAAGAUUUCAUGUAUUCUAACAUAGGGAGCCUUUUUCCAUUUUUAUUGUAGAUUUGAUUUCAUACAAGUAGCUAAAAGCUCACCCUUCUCUCAAACUCUGUUAGCUACUUCUCUAGGUCAAUUUCGGGCCACCAAACCCUGCAACUGAUGAGAAGGCCCUAUGGAGCGUGUAUGUUGACACACCUCCUGCCUUUCAAAGGUACCUAGAGGAUAGGCCAUACACAACAGUGCGAUGACCGGGGAGCGAAUUCCCUACGAGAAGGGUCAAACGACCAUCUCAAGGCGCAUCACGAUCUACAAGUAAAAAAAGCAGUUUAUUCAUGAUCUUCACAUAUCUGUGCAUCUAUUUGCGGUACUCUAUGAUUCACAUGAAGUCGCUGUCUAGGCACAUUAUGUUUUAAUCCUGAACAGAAAAAGAUCUGCUGGGGAAUUCGGAGCCUGACAAUAUUUAUGUUUGUAUAUUCUAUCUCCUGGACAUACAAUGGCCCAUCUCUGCUAGGUUUAUCACAAAUGAAGUUAGUGUGAGAAGUGCAAAUGGAAACUAAUCUAUAAAGCUAUUAUUUAAUGUAAUGCAUAUCCAUGACUGCAUCUAACUAGUUUGAUGGAGGUGCUUAACAGUGGAUGUGGAUCAGUACAACCCUGUAACUUGGAUUCAGCUUCAUGCAUAUCCCAGAAAUCUCGAACACAAAGAUGGGCUUGAGAAACGUAUAUUGUCUAAUAAAUACUUUAAAUCUGAACAUGUAUCUUUGUGUUUAGACUUUCUAUUUGUGGUCAUUAUGCAUGUUCUUUUCUAUGUCCUUGAAAUAAAUUACAUUGGAUUUCUUUUGUUUUAACAGAUUAGUGCUCUUAAAGGAGUGGAUAUAAACUUCUUGGCAGAAAUCGCCAUAAGAUGUUGUGACCAUCGUUUUUUCCUUUGACACUUUUCUGGUUUGGUGCUACCCUUGUAUUUGAACAUGCGGCAUCUUAUAUGUCUCUAUCGCUUCUGGUGCUGAGACGCUUUGAUGCAAGAUAUUAUUGGGGAAGGAGUUCAAUAAGUCCCUUUUUUUUGGAAAAUAUCCUUUGCAUACUUUUAUGAUUACACAUUCUGUUUUUCCACUCUUAUGACUAUGUGUAGAAGAUGUAGAGAGGUGGUAAUGAUGGAAGAUAAAAAUGUCAUCUGUUUUUUCAAAAAUAAUCCUCCCUUUUCUGCUUUAUGUGCCAUAAUUGUAUAAACGUUAGUUAUUGAAGGAGGACAAAAUAGGAAAGUCUUAAUUUGAAAGAGUUCUGUGUCUAUUGUCUCUCUUUUUAUGUUGUAAUUGCAAGUAGUGAAACCUUAUCCACAAAAAAAUGCAAGGAAACUGACUGCGAUAGGUCUCGAUAAAUCUAAAGGACCUCUCGCAAAGUUUGUUGCACCGAAAAGUGUGAACCUAAGAGAUUUAGGAGCUAAAUUUUACUUGCUCACCAUCCAGUUUUUAUAUCUGAUGGACUUUAAGGUUAUGGAUAUUAUUAUUGGAAAAAAGGCUAGCCAUAUGGUGAAACAUUGAACAGGUACGAGAAAUGUCAUUCAUACGAGAAAUGUCAUUCAGAUAUAACAAUUAGGUUGACUGUGCUAUUAUCUAUCAAGUUAAUACAUUGUCAUUCCUGCUUAUUCCAAAUUUCAUAUCUAUUGGUACAUUUGAACUUGAAGUUUUGAAUUUCUUUUCAGUUUCACUUCAUUACAAAGCUCCUACAAAUAUUCGAUGUUGUACUCUCAAAUAAAGUUGGUCAUUCUAUUCUAUCAAAUACCCGUGAUGAAGUGAAUUGCUACUUUACAUGAGGACUCAUUGGAGAAUGGAUCAUCUGGAAAUUCUUUGUGAUCUUAAUGUGAAUGAGCUCUUGAAUUAUAAGAAUGUAAAACUGCAUUUUUUUUAUGUAAUUGAGUUAGUGAUAAUUUGAUCACUAAACAAGCUUAUUGUUAUUCUUAAAGUUCACUUAAAUACCUUAGUUUGCACUUAUAUUGUUGGUCUUACCUACAAAAUUAUGAAGUUAAAGGUAGUUUAAAGUAGUUGGUUUAAUUGUGAAAGGAAUAGUGACAUUGGGCGCUCGUGCAGAGCACGGUCACUCCCAUCUACUCUCCCAUCUAGUAUUUAACUAUAUAAUAAGAGCUUUUUGGACGACCAGGGGUUUCACACUGGUCCAGCUGUUGUGCAUAUUUCUUGCUAACACCUUACGUGUCUUUCAGCUGGUAGUGCAUAUUUCAGGUGCAUCUCCUUUUGUAAAAUUUCAUUUCUCUCCCUUUGCAUGCCGUUCUUCUAUUAUUCUUAUCUCUACUUUCUGUGCUUCUCUUCCAUUUCUGCUCAUGUUUUAUUUUCCAAUCUUCUGAAGUUGUUUCUGUGCAUUCGGCUGUCCUACUUUUGUUGUUUAUUGUUUUCUUCAGUUUCCUCUCCUUUUUCGUGGCUUUCAAUUACUCUUUCCCCUCUCAUCUUCGCUUCACUUUCUUUUGCAUAUCCCUUAUUUAUCUUGUUUUUUAUUUUUUCUUUGUUUGUUCUACUAUGGGUAUCGACUUGGAUUGUGUUUUGAUUUGUUUAAUUUUACUUUUUUAAGUCAUAAUUUGUUGUAUACAAUAUUGGUCUGCACUAAAAUUGUAUGUAUAUAUUUUGGUGAUAAUGCUCAGAGAAAGAUCAAAUACAUGUCAAGAUUCACUCAUUUGAUCAUAGAACGGGAAGCAGCAACCUGUACGACAAUGCCGAUCAUGAACAUAUUCGGCAUGUUCCUCUGUUUUGUGAGUUUUCCCCUUUCUGCUAUGUUAUGUAUUGAUGUGCUACUAUGCCCAUCUACUGUAUUAGUCUUUGAAACUAUAUUUUGAAUCCACUUAGAAUAGAAAAUUGUGGAAAUUUUUCGAGUGUUUAAUUUCUUUUGACAUGUUCUAUAUGUGUUUGACACUUUGCUCUGAAGAAGGAUUAGAAAAUUAUGGACUUUA